rnacentral:rRNA from 1 species
UACGGAGGGAGCUAGCGUUGUUCGGAAUUACUGGGCGUAAAGCGCGCGUAGGCGGCUUUGUAAGUUAGAGGUGAAAGCCCGGGGCUCAACCCCGGAACUGCCUUUAAAACUGCAUCGCUUGAAUCCGGGAGAGGUGAGUGGAAUUCCGAGUGUAGAGGUGAAAUUCGUAGAUAUUCGGAAGAACACCAGUGGCGAAGGCGGCUCACUGGACUGGUAUUGACGCUGAGGUGCGAAAGCGUGGGGGAGCAAACAGG